CGGCUGGGGAAGGGAGGGUUGGGGCACUGCCUGAUCCUUUCAGAAGCAUGACGUCCGGCUGGGUCUGGGGGCUUGGGCCGGGAGUCCGGCCUUUGGACGACCUCCUUUAGGUGGGGGCUGCCAGGCCUGAGCGGGGAGGACAGCUGGACUCGGGCCGAACGGCCUGAGGUCACCUGAGUUGCGAGACACCGCAGCGCUGCGCGCGUUGUCGCAGAGGAAGGACACGUCAGGCCGGCCUCUGCUCUGGGGAGAGGAAGGAAAAGUCCAGGGACAGCCUGAGAGGGAAUACGCAGCGGACUGGUAGUGGCUGUCAUUGCUCACUGCUCUCCUGGCAGCCAGAUGUUUAGCGGACCAGGGUCGACUUGACUGGCAAAGAACUCUUCUUGCUUCCUUUCGUUCUGGCACUUCUCCAUAUUGUUUAGUUGGUGAUCUUGCUUGAAAGAAGAAAUACCUUAGUGACGAGAGCAGGUUUAGUUAGGAUUGUGCCCCACGAAUAUUUGGAUAAUUUUUUACAACAGUGCCCAUUUUUAUAAUUCUGUAAUAAACUUUAUUUCUGUUUUCCUCACAUUUGAGGAGGGAGUGAAACUGUGAGCGGAAUCAUUGUAAUUAAUUGAGAGAGACCAAUGAAAGCAGCUGUUAUUGUAUAAAAAAUAAUAAAAAAAACACCUUUUUGUGGAUAUACUUUGAAUUAGUUAUACUAUAGAUAAUUGAACACGAAGUAGAAAAAGGUAUUUAUUAGGUUCCUGAAAGUAAAAAAGCCAUCAUGGAAAAUGAGGUUAUUUCUAAGUCAGAAUUGCUAUGGAGUGAUGAUCACUGAACUGUUUGGUAUGCCUUCAAUUCAAAAGAUUAAAAAGAAGCUGGCACAAAAAUUUAUGAUCUAAUGGUGUUUUAAAAUAAUCUCUUAAAGCAUCAGGGUUCCUAAGAUUAAAGAUUCUUAACUCAAGGACCUUUUCACGUAUUAAUCUCUCCAUUUCACAUGUCACAUGAGGAAAUAAGAUGUACAUAGUUUUAGAGACUAAUCGACUUUGGAUCACCCCUAGUAUCUAUUCAGUACGUAUUGUAUGCAAGGCAAUACCGUGGUGUGGACCUCAGUAUCGCUAAGGUAUGAGACUUAUUCUAAUGGGCCUAUAAUUUAGUUGUGGAAUAAAGGGCACACAGAGAAAUGGUAACUAAAGAUAUGGUUUCUAGAAUUCUGAGACAGUAGGUACUAUGAGAAUGCAGGAAAAGGGUCGAGUUGAGCCAUGAAAGUGUAGGUAUGAAUGAAUGACGGAGAAGAAGUGAGGAAAUAAGAAAGCAAGAAUGGUAAAGGUGGCAUGGGAGAACCUGAAAUGCCCACUUAUUGGAAAAAGUGGGGAGAUAAGGUUGUACAAAAAAGAUAGAUUGAUGGCAUCAAAUCAAGAAGUAGCUUUGUCCCAGGUGAAGCAAGGGAUAACAAGUAGUAACUGUAUUUACUUCAGAUGAAGCUGGAGCCAGCCAUUAGAAAAGAUGUACAGCCUUGUUACUUUUCUCAGCCACCCAGGAUUCAUACCUCAAGAUCCAUUAUUGCCUUUCUUUUUUUCACCCUCUGGGUUCAGCUGGUUGCCAGGUCUUGUUGAUACUGUCUCUGUACUCUUUCUUGUAUCUGCUUCCUUUUCUUACUGUCAUCACACUGAUUUGGGGCCUUUGAUAUACCAAUCUCUUGAAUUAUUGCAGAAACCCCUAACAUUUUUUUUCUUUCCUCCCAUUUGUCUUGUCUACUACUAUCACUUUUAGAUAUCUCACUUCCCCAGCCAAGACUUAAUGACUCCCCACUGUCUGUUGAAUUAAGCAAAGACCAGCCUCGCAUGGGCACUAUGGAUGAGACUUGUCUCUCGUUUAAACCAUGAUAACACCAGAGUCUACCUUUUUGCUACAAUUGCCAACAUAAGACUAAAACUUUUUCAAGACAUGGACUAUCUUCUUCAUCAUCUAGCACAGUGUUUUGUACACAGUAGGUGCUUGGCAAAUAUAUUUUAUAUUGAACAUAGCUUUGAACCAGGAUGGCUGCAAAGAAAAUUCUUUGUGCAAACAAAAUAUUCAUUGCAAAAUCUGUAAAUAAAGUUACUUAUGUGAAAGAA